rnacentral:lncRNA from 1 species
CUGCUUUGUAGGACUUUAUUGGAGUGCGGCAGGGGCGGGGUGAGAUCACGUAAGGUUGGGGGCAGAUGUGAGCUCUCAGCUCAGUCCCAGUCCCCAUCGCCUUCAGGAUUGUCGUCUCGUGGGGGUUCCUGGAACUGGAUGUUGGCCAGCAUGUCCCGCAUGGCCGCCAUGAGCCGGUUCACCCCCUGGUUCAGGUCCUGCCCCGCUCCAGCCUCUUCGUCUCCAUCGUGCCUGAUGUCACCCUGCAAGUUAAAAUUUGGCAACAGUGAUCGGAAGAAGAGAGAUAAAGUGCUUUCAUUGGAUGGAUGAUUCGUUCUUUCUGGUCUAGUGUAGGAGAUGAUGGAGUCUAGAGGAGGAAGGGGGUCAAACCCCAUCACAGGCUGCGAUGUCACCUCCAGAGGCAGAGCUGCCGUGGCCUCCUUCAUCUCUGAGAGGAUGACAUGCCUGUAGAUAUUCCUCGGUGCACUCUGGUAUCGCAUCUUCCUCUUGUGCUCACACUCCUCCACCAGCGGGUCCCUGGCAUCCACCAUGCGUAAGACCUCGUGGACGUUCGUCUCCAGCCAAGCCAUGACAGCUGGGUCCUUCCACAGGGAGUGAGUCCUUCC